AAGUGCGAUCAUACCAGCACUUAUGCACCAGAUCCCAUCAGAACUCUGUAGCUAAGCGUGCUUGGGCGAGAGUAGUACUAGGACGGGUGACCUCUUGGGAAAUCCUCGUGUUGCACCUC
rnacentral:rRNA from 2 species